CGGUGGCCUCGGCGCAGCCCUGAGGCUCCGCGCUGGGGCUCGGGACGCCCGCGGCGCUGGGCCCGGCUGGGGCCGGGGGCUGGGUGCGGAGCAGUCCGCGCUGGCGGCGGCCGCCUCGGCGCCGAGCCAUGGGGAGCCCCCGGGCCGCGCUGCUGCUGCUCCUGCGCCCGGCCAAGCUGCUGCGGAGGCGCUUCCGGCUGCUGCUGGCGCUCGCCCUGGUGUCCGUGGGGCUCUGGACUCUGUAUCUGGAACUGGUGGCGUCGGCGCAGGUCGGCGGGAACCCCUUGAACCGGAGGUAUGGCAGCUGGAGAGAACUGGCCAAGGCACUGGCCAGCAGGAAUAUCCCGGCUGUGGACCCACAUCUCCAGUUCUACCGUCCCCAGAGGCUGAACCUCAAGGACCAAGAAGUCGACCGAGAUGGAAGCAGCAACAGGAGCUACUUGAAGUGGAACAAGCCUGUUCCCUGGCUCUCAGAGUUCCGGGGUCGGGCCAACCUGCACGUGUUCGAGGACUGGUGUGGCAGCUCCAUCCAGCAGCUCAGGAGGAACCUGCACUUCCCACUGUACCCCCACAUCCGCACGACCCUGAGGAAGCUGGCUGUGUCCCCCAAAUGGACCAACUACGGCCUCCGCAUCUUUGGCUACCUGCACCCCUUCACUGACGGGACAGUCCAGUUUGCCAUCGCUGCAGACGACAACGCCGAGUUCUGGCUGAGCCAUGACGACCAGGUUACAGGCCUUCAGCUGCUGGCCAGUGUGGGCAAGACUGGAAAGGAGUGGACCGCCCCUGGAGAGUUUGGGAAAUUUCGGAGUCAAAUUUCCAAGCCGGUGAGCCUGUCAGCCUCACACAGGUACUACUUUGAGGUACUGCACAAGCAGAAUGACCAGGGUACUGACCACGUGGAGGUUGCGUGGCGGAGGAGCGACCCCGGGGCCAAGUUCACCAUCAUUGACUCCCCUUCCCUGUCCCUCUUCACAAAUGAGACGGUCCUCAAGAUGGAUGAGGUGGGCCACAUCCCACAGACAGCAGCCAGCCACGCAGGCUCAGCCGACUCCCACCCCCGAGACGAGCAGCCCCCCGCUGACAUGCUGCGGCCCGACCCCCGCGACACCCUCUAUCAAGUGCCUCUGAUCCCCAAGUCUCACCUCCGCCACGUGCUGCCUGAUUGUCCCUACAAACCCAGCUACCUGGUGGAUGGGCUCCCCCUGCAGCGAUACCAGGGACUCCGGUUUGUGCACCUGUCCUUUGUGUACCCCAAUGACUACACUCGCCUGAGCCACAUGGAGACCCACAACAAAUGCUUCUAUCAGGAAAACGCCUACUACCAGGACAGGUUCAGCUUUCAGGACUACAUCAAGAUCGACCAGCCUGAGAAGCAGGGACUGGAGCGGCCAGGUGAAGAAGCUGGAUUGAUGGAGGCUGAGUUUGCCCAAGGUUUGGAGGAGGACCUUCUAGAAGAAUCCCAGUAUGAAGACGUGGCAGAGGAGACCCCUGCCUCCAAUGCUCGGCAUACCGCGAUGCCAGAGGGCAAAGAGACACCUGCCGCCAGCCCCGAGCAGGAGGCCACGGACUACCGGCUCCGGAGCCUGCGGAAGCUCCUGGGCCAGCCCCAAGCCGGCCUGCUGGCUCCCUUCUCCAAGCGGAACUCCACGCCCUUCCUGGGGAGGCCUGGGGACCUCCGGGCCCAACUACCCCAGGAGAGGAAGAGGAGACCCCGCCCCGCGCCUAGCCCCGGCUCGCCUCCCGCGGACAGGUGGCCCCCGGGGCACAUGGCACGGAGCCUGCCUCAGAGGAAGAGGCCCAGGCCCACCGCGGCCAGCCCCGGGAAGAUGCUCGGGCAGGCCCAGUGGCUGAGUCAGGUGGAGUCGUACAUUGCAGAGCAGAGGCGGGGUGACGGGGCAGAGCCGCAGGCCCCCGGGCCGGCUUGGCGCGGGGAGGAGCCGGUGGUGGCCGCUGCUGGCUUGGAAGAGCAGACCGAGGCGGAGGAAGAGGGGGAAGCGGAGGAGGAGGAGGAAGAGGAGAUGAGUGAGGUGUUUGAAUACGUGCCGGUGUUUGACCCGGUGGUCAACUGGGACCAGACCUUCAGUGCCCGCAACCUUGACUUCCAAGCCCUGAGGACCGACUGGAUCGACCUGAACUGUAACACAUCCGGCAACCUGCUGCUCCCGGAGCCCGAGGCGCUCGAGGUGGCGCGCGUCUUCCUGAAGCGGCUCAACCAGCGGAGCCGGGGGAGGUACCAGCUGCAGCGCAUCGUGAAUGUGGAGAAGCGACAGGACCAGCUCCGGGGGGGCCGCUACCUCCUGGAGCUGGAACUGCUGGAACAAGGCGGGCGCCUGGUGCGGCUCUCAGAGUAUGUGUCUGCACGAGGCUGGCAGGGCGUCGACCCAGUCGGUGGGGAGGAAGCCGAGGCCCGGAACCUGCAGGGCCUGAUCUGGAGCCCACACAACCGUCAGGGACGGGUCCUGAACGUCCGUGCCCCGGAGCCCAAGCUGUGCUGGCCCCAGGGUUUCUCCUGGAAUCACCGUGCGGUGGUCCACUUCAUCGUGCCUGUGAAGAACCAGGCACGCUGGGUGCAGCAGUUCAUUAAAGACAUGGAGACACUGCUGCAGACCACCGGCGACCCGCACUUCAACGUCGUCAUCACUGACUACAGCAGUGAGGACAUGGAUGUCGAGAUGGCCCUGCAGAGGUCCAAACUGCGCAGCUACCAGUACAUGAAGCUAACUGGAAACUUUGAGCGCUCAGCUGGACUUCAGGCUGGCAUUGACCUGGUGAAGGACCCUCACAGCAUCGUCUUCCUCUGUGACCUCCACAUCCACUUCCCAGCUGGAGUCAUCGAUGCCAUCCGGAAGCACUGCGUGGAGGGCAAGAUGGCCUUUGCUCCCAUGGUGAUGAGGCUGCACUGCGGCGCCACGCCCCAGUGGCCUGAGGGCUACUGGGAAGUGAACGGAUUUGGACUGCUUGGCAUCUACAAGUCCGACCUGGACAAGAUCGGGGGCAUGAACACCAAGGAGUUCCGGGACCGCUGGGGCGGGGAAGACUGGGAGCUGCUGGACAGGUCCCUGCUGUGUUCACAGAGGGUUCCUUGAGGCCCUGACAGCCAGGAACCCCGUCUGAUGCGCUCCGAAGGCUGUGAUGAAGACGUUGAUGACGACGCAUCUCUGCUAUGGCCUGAGAAAGCAGUAGAAGAUGGCCCGAGUCCUUGGGCCCCUGUGCCCACGUGGGAGACCUGGGGGAAGCUCCUGACUCCUGGCUUCGCAUUGGCCCAGCUCCGGCUGUCGCCCCCAUUUGGGGAGUGAACAGAGGGUGGAAGACCUCUCUGUCUCUCCCUCUCACUGUCUGUAACUCUACCUGUCAAAUAUAAAAUAAAAAUAUUUUAGGCCGGCGCCACGGCUCACUAGGCUAAUCCUCCGCCUGUGGCGCUGGCACCCCGGGUUCUAGUCCCGGUUGGGGCACUGGAUUCUGUCCUGGUUGCUCCUCUGCCAGGCUAGCUCUCUGCUGUGGCCCGGGAAGGCAGUGGAGGAUGGCCCAAGUGCUUGGGCCCUGCACCCACAUGGCAGACCAGGAGGAAGCACCUGGCUCCUGGCUUCGGAUCGGCACAGCGCACCAGCCACAACACGCCGGCCGUAGCGGCCACUUGGGGGGUGAACCAACGGAAGGAAGACCUUUCUCUCUGUCUGUCUCUCUCACUGUCUAACUCUGCCUAUCAAAAAAUAAAUAAAUAAAUAAAAAUUUUUUAAAUAAAAGAAUGGAAGGAGGAUUUUGGAAGAUGUUUUAGCCUGAUGGUAGGGAGGCUGAGCCAAAAGAUCACAAUAGGAUAGAUAUCUGUUGAGUGGAUGGUUAAAUGGAUGAUGGAUUGGUGGAUGGGGAAUGGAGGGAUGGAUAGAUGGGUGGAUGGAGGGAUGGAUGGAUGGACAGGCAGACAGGUGAUGGAUGGUUGGACAGACAGGAAGAUGGAUGGAUGGAUGGAUGGAUGGACUAGUGCAUAAAUGGAUGGGGUGGGAGGAUGGGUUGGUAGAUGGGCAGAUAUCAGAGGGUCUGGAUACUUCUUGUACUCAGUGUGACCCCAGCAUGCCACUUCACUUGGAUAAUUACACAGAGGCCAGCCGAGAGUGGAGAGAAGCCUAUCUGGAUAGCACCUUUGGACUCCAAAGAUCCUUAAGAUGUCUUGAAAUGCAGUUGUUGCCAAAAUUUCUUGUUAGUAUAAUCCCAGCAUUAAAAACCAUCUUUGGUAAUGCAUUCAUACUACUUGAGGGUACUUCAAAAGGAUUGUGGGAAAAUAUAAUUAAAAUACAAGUUUAUUUUGGGGUAAAAAUUUUGGAAAUCUAUUGUGGUGGAAUGAGAAGGUGAGAAGGUCAUGCCAAGAUGGCCGCUAACAACAGAAACUGCAUGGCAACAGGCCAUGAUUGGAUGGUUUCGGAAACUGCCUGGCAACAGAGCCUGACUGGCAACAGGCUGUGAUUGGAUGGCUUUGGAAACUGCCUGGCAACAGUCUGUGACUGGUUAGGGCAUAGACCACCCCUUGACCAGAUUGGCUGCCUUGGCUAUAUAAGCAGCUGCAGCAACUGAAAUAAACGAGUCUGCGGGCUGCUUGCCUCAAGCCUGCUUUCACCCGACUCCCGGGGUCUGUGUGGUGACUCCACGCCUCUUGCCCCCACCACGCUCUUCCUCUCAGGAACAAAUCCACAGUAACAUCCUAUGAGGAGUUUUUUUUACAAAAAUUGAUUUUCCAUGAACUUUUUGAAGACCUUUCAUCUGUACAUCCUUUCAUUACACAUCAGGGAAGUAAAGCCUCCACCUGUGCCCAUCCCAUAGGGGCACUGGUUCAAGUCCUGGCUGCUCCACUUCCGAUCCAGCUCCCUGCUGAUGUACUUGGGAAAGCACAGGUGCUUGGGCUUCUGCACCCAUGUGGGAGACCUAGAAGAAGCCCUGGCUCCUGGCUUCGGCCUGGCCCAGCCCCAGCCGUAGUGGCCAUUUGGGGAGUGAACCAGCAGAUGGAAGAUCUGUCUCUCUCUGUUUUCUCCUCUCUCUGUGUAACUCUGACUUUCAAAUAAAUAAAUAAAUAUUUUAAAAAAUCA